UGGAGGUUAUAGAGACGUGUUGACUGGUUAAUGCUGUAGAGGGUAUAGAGACGUGUUGAAUGGUUAAUGCUGUGGAGGAUAUAGAGACGUGUUGUGUUGACUGGUUAAUGCUGUGGAGGGUAUAGAGACGUGUUGUGUUGACUGGUUCAUGCUGUGGAGGGUAUAGAGACGUGUUGUGUUGACUGGUUCAUGCUGUGGAGGGUAUAGAGACGUGUUGUGUUGACUGGUUAAUGUUGUGGAGGAUAUAGAGACGUGUUGACUGGUUAAUGCUGUGGAGGAUAUAGAGACGUGUUGAAUGGUUAAUGCUGUGGAGGGUAUAGAGACGUGUUGACUGGUUAAUGCUGUGGAGGAUAUAGAGACGUGUUGUGUUGACUGGUUAAUGCUGUGGAGGGUAUAGAGACGUGUUGAAUGGUUAAUGCUGUGGAGGAUAUAGAGACGUGUUGUGUUGACUGGUUAAUGCUGUGGAGGGUAUAGAGAGGUGUUGUGUUGACUGGUUAAUGCUGUGGAGGGUAUAGAGAUGUGUUGUGUUGACUGGUUAAUGCUGUGGAGGUUAUAGAGAGGUGUUGACUGGUUAAUACUGUGGAGGGUAUGGAGACGUGUUGUGUUGACUGGUUAAUGCUGUGGGGGGUAUAGAGAGGUGUUGACUGGUUAAUGCUGUGGAGGGUAUAGAGAGGUGUUGACUGGUUAAUGCUGUGGAGGGUAUAGAGACGUGUUGUGUUGACUGGUUAAUGCUGUGGAGGGUAUAGAGAGGUGUUGACUGGUUAAUGCUGUGGAGGGUAUAGAGAGGUGUUGACUGGUUAAUGCUGUGGAGGGUAUAGAGACGUGUUGUGUUGACUGGUUAAUGCUGUGGAGGGUAUAGAGAGGUGUUGACUGGUUAAUGCUGUGGAGGGUAUAGAGAGGUGUUGACUGGUUAAUGCUCUGGAGGGUAUAGAGAGGUGUUGACUGGUUAAUGCUGUGGAGGUGUAUAGAGACGUGUUGACUGGUUAAUGCUGUGGAGGGUAUAGAGAGGUGUUGUGUUGACUGGUUAAUGCUGUGGAGGGUAUAGAGACGUGUUGUGUUGACUGGUUACUGCUGUGGAGGAUAUAGAGACGUGUUGUGUUGACUGGUUAAUGCUGUGGAGGCUAUAGAGAGUUGUUGACUUGUUAAUGCUGUGGAGGGUAUAGAGAGGUGUUGUGUUGACUGGUUAAUGCUGUGGAGGGGAUAGAGAGGUGUUGACUGGUUAAUGCUGUGGAGGGUAUAGAGACGUGUUGACUGGUUAAUGCUGUGGAGGGUAUAGAGAGGUGUUGUGUUGACUGGUUAAUGAUGUGGAGGGUAUAGAGACGUGUUGACUGGUUAAUGCUGUGGAGGGUAUAGAGACGUGUUGACUGGUUAAUGCUGUGGGGGGUAUAGAGAGGUGUUGACUGGUUAAUGCUGUGGAGGGUAUAGAGAGGUGUUGACUGGUUAAUGCUGUGGAGGGUAUAGAGACGUGUUGACUGGUUAAUGCUGUGGGGGGUAUAGAGAGGUGUUGACUGGUUAAUGCUGUGGAGGGUAUAGAGAGGUGUUGACUGGUUAAUGCUGUGGAGGGUAUAGAGAGGUGUUGUGUUAACUGGUUACUGCUGUGGAGGGUAUAGAGAGGUGUUGACUGGUUAAUGCUGUGGAGGGUAUAGAGAGGUGUUGACUGGUUAAUACUGUGGAGGGUAUAGAGACGUGUUGACUGGUUAAUGCUGUGGAGGGUAUAGAGAGGUGUUGACUAUGCUGUGGAGGGUAUAGAGAGGUGUUGACUGGUUAAUGCUGUGGAGAGUAUAGAGAGGUGUUGACUGGUUAAUGAUGUGGAGGGUAUAGAGAGAGACGUGUUGACUGGUUAAUGCUGUGGAGGGUAUAGAGAGGUGUUGACUGGUUAAUGCUGUGGAGGGUAUAGAGAGGUGUUGACUGGGUAAUGAGUGUGGAGGUAAUUGAUUGGAGGCUGUAAUUAGUAGAUUGCUGUCCUUGAUUAAUCACAGUCCAGUAGAGCCAACAUUAUCACCUGUUGUUAAUGUUAUUCUGUGUGUUUGCUCUGGUGAGCAGACUAUCUCUAUUCAUCCAUCUCACACCAUGUACCAUCACUGGAGACUUCCUGUCUUCCUUUCAACAGGACAGGACACGGAACAUUCUGUAUUAUCUUUCCUAUGCUCAUUCACUUCUCCUUUUAAAUGUCCUCCAUUUUACCCAUCAUUCCAUCCUUCUCAUCUUUUCAGUGUUCUGUCAUCCUUUCCUCUCUCACUUUUCUUCAUUCCUUGCUUCCUUUUUCAUCCUCUAUUUCUCAUUGUCUUGUCUCCCUCUCUCUCUUCACUGUUUGUUAGGUCUCAGGUUCUGCCGUUGUCAUUUCGGAUUAGUGCUGAUUAGUCGAAUUAUUAUGAUUUUUCAUUGCUUUUUGGACAAGGUAUCAGAUGGAACUCUUCUAAAUGACUCAUGUAUUUUAUAACUUGUUAAGUCAGUUUGCUAAUAGGAUAAUUAUUCUGCUAAUCAGCAAGUUUCCUUGAGAUACUAAAAGUUUAAGGAUGUUCUGUCACAUCUCCAGAUUCUUGUCAGAUAACUGGUGCUGUUACAGUACAAUACAUGCUGUCUGGUACAGAAUAAAAGGGGGAGAAAUGUAAAAUUGUGUGUGUGUGUGUGUGUGUGUGUGUGUGUGUGUGUGUGUGUGUGUGUGUGUGUGUGUGUGUGUGUGUGUGUGUGUGUGUGUGUGUGUGUGUGUCGGGAAGGCUCCCUGAUUGAUAGUCUGGUUGUGUAAGAGAGGCUGGAUGGACUCCAGACAGGCAGUGUCAUGGUAACAGACAGUAACCCACAGUAGCGUGUCCUUCUCAAGAUGAGGUGUGUGUGUUCAUAUCAUGUGGGUGUGUGUGUGUAUGCGUGUGUGUAUUUCCGCACACAUGUGUGUAUGUCUUUGUACGAGCAUGGGGGACAAAAUCCCUCAUUUCACUGUGAGACCAGCAGAGUCCCAGGGUGAUGUAUGAGGUCAUUCAACCAUUCAGAGGCUCAGCCUUCUCCAGAGUUAUCUAGUCACCUGUCCUUCCAACACACAACACACACACACACACACACACACACACACACACACACACACCUGAAAGGUCACACUGGAACGUGUUUGUCAUAUCCGCUUGAGCUAUUGCCCCAUUAUUACCCUUACUAGACAUGUCUCUGUCACCUAUAUCUCUACCUCCAUCUCUCUACCUCCCCAUCUCCCUGUUUCUCUGUCCACUUGUCUGUGUGGAUAGAUGUUUUCAUCUAAGCAGCUUUUUUAGAAAUAUGAAUAAGACAUGUUUACCAGCCUACGCUAUCACUCAGUAAAAUGGUCAAUAGCACCAUCAGAGUGUCCUUGACCAGCCAAUUAGAAUUGCUCCAGACACAUCUAAGUGUUCAACCAAACAUAUAGUCCUAGAUUGGCUUAUGAAAACAUUGUCUAUUCUUCAAGGGACCCAUUGCUUUCCUCCUGGACUUAAGCCCAAGUCAUAAUGCCUUCUCAUCACUCUGGCUGAGGUGAGUGUGUGACUGCUUCACACCAUCAGUGUGACAAUCGCUCAGUCAGCCUUCUUAAAAAAUUCCAUCAAAACCCAACGCUGAGGUUGUUGUGUUGCUUUUUUGUAAUGUGGAAGUGUAAUUCUGUAUUCUUUCCUUUAUUUACAUUCCAUUCAAAAUGUUCAUUAAAAUGCAAAGGAUUUUCUCCCCCCCUCA